AGUUUCGAUCCGUGGCUACGAGAACGAACGCUGGCGGCAGGCCUAACACAUGCAAGUCGAGCGGGGAGCAAUCCCUAGCGGCGGACGGGUUAGUAACGCGUGGGAACAUACCCUUUGGUACGGAAUAGCCUCGGGAAACUGAGAGUAAUACCGUAUGUGCCCUUCGGGGGAAAGAUUUAUCGCCAAAGGAUUGGCCCGCGUUGGAUUAGGUAGUUGGUGGGGUAAUGGCCUACCAAGCCUACGAUCCAUAGCUGGUUUGAGAGGAUGAUCAGCAACACUGGGACUGAGACACGGCCCAGACUCCUACGGGAGGCAGCAGUGGGGAAUCUUAGACAAUGGGCGCAAGCCUGAUCUAGCCAUGCCGCGUGAGCGAUGAAGGCCUUAGGGUUGUAAAGCUCUUUCAGAUGGGAAGAUAAUGACGGUACCAUCAGAAGAAGCCCCGGCUAACUCCGUG
rnacentral:rRNA from 1 species